UUUUAUUUUUUUUUAAAUAAAAAAUCAGCUAACAAAAGAUGAAAUUAAACAAUCAACGGCCCAGCCCGUUCCAGCCCAUGGGUGUGAAGGCUGCUGCUGUUGUCGGCCGUCAUGUAUAACAAACCAACCAACAGGGGAAAUUAAUCUUUUAUCAUUGAUGAGCAAAACGGGUAAUAUGUUCGAGAGAGUAGUUUCAACUUUCAAAUACACAAGAGGAACGAAAAGUCCUAGACCGUCUAUAAUCUAGAUGAAUUGUGAAGCUCAGGUUGUGGUCUGUUUUUGGAUUCUUGAAUGCAGCUGGAGCUUUAAGGAUCUGCAUACAAAGCUCCUCAAGAAGAAAUCUUUAUGGUGACCCAAGUAUGUUUACAUCUAAAAAAAUAUCAUAUUUGCAACUAUUGCAACAUAAAACAUGUGUGCUUGUGUUUACCUUUUAAAAAAAUAGAGUGCUUAUACGUGACUUACCACCUUCAAGCAACACAUUGUGUUUUGAUAAAGGAUAGAUGACUGUAUUUAUAUGGAUAGUACAUUGUCUUUAUGGCUAGAACUCUGCUACUGUGUAGCACUACCUAUUUAGAACAUGUUGUAGAAGGAUGUGUGAAUUGAUUAUGAAAAGUGAUGGAAGUCUAUUAUGAAUAUUGUGUGCCUGUUAUCUAUA